AUGAACGCUGGCGGCGUGCCUAAUACAUGCAAGUCGAGCGAACAGACGAGGAGCUUGCUCCUCUGACGUUAGCGGCGGACGGGUGAGUAACACGUGGAUAACCUACCUAUAAGACUGGGAUAACUUCGGGAAACCGGAGCUAAUACCGGAUAAUAUAUUGAACCGCAUGGUUCAAUAGUGAAAGACGGUUUUGCUGUCACUUAUAGAUGGAUCCGCGCCGCAUUAGCUAGUUGGUAAGGUAACGGCUUACCAAGGCAACGAUGCGUAGCCGACCUGAGAGGGUGCUCGGCCACACUGGAACUGAGACACGGUCCAGACUCCUACGGGAGGCAGCAGUAGGGAAUCUUCCGCAAUGGGCGAAAGCCUGACGGAGCAACGCCGCGUGAGUGAUGAAGUUCUUCGGAUCGUAAAACUCUGUUAUUAGGGAAGAACAAAUGUGUAAGUAACUAUGCACGUCUUGACGGUACCUAAUCAGAAAGCCACGGCUAACUACGUG
rnacentral:rRNA from 1 species